UGGGCAACCUGCCUCAUACAGAGGGAUAAUCAUGUGAAAACGUGACUAAUACCGCAUGUCAUUACUGGAGGGCAUCCUCCGGUAAGAAAAGGAGCAAUCCGGUAUGAGAUGGGCCCGCAUCUGAUUAGCUAGUUGGUGAGAUAACAGCCCACCAAGGCGACGAUCAGUAGCCGACCUGAGAGGGUGAUCGGCCACAUUGGGACUGAGACACGGCCCAA
rnacentral:rRNA from 1 species